rnacentral:rRNA from 1 species
AGGGAUCAUUACCGAGUUUACAACUCCCAAACCCAAUGUGAACCAUACCAAACUGUUGCCUCGGCGGGGUCACGCCCCGGGUGCGUCGCAGCCCCGGAACCAGGCGCCCGCCGGAGGGACCAACCAAACUCUUUCUGUAGUCCCCUCGCGGACGUUAUUUCUUACAGCUCUGAGCAAAAAUUCAAAAUGAAUCAAAACUUUCAACAACGGAUCUCUUGGUUCCGGCAUCGAUGAAGAACGCAGCGAAAUGCGAUAAGUAAUGUGAAUUGCAGAAUUCAGUGAAUCAUCGAAUCUUUGAACGCACAUUGCGCCCGCCAGUAUUCUGGCGGGCAUGCCUGUCCGAGCGUCAUUUCAACCCUCGAACCCCUCCGGGGGGUCGGCGUUGGGGAUCGGGAACCCCUAAGACGGGAUCCCGGCCCCGAAAUACAGUGGCGGUCUCGCCGCAGCCUCUCCUGCGCAGUAGUUUGCACAACUCGCACCGGGAGCGCGGCGCGUCCACGUCCGUAAAACACCCAACUUCUGAAAUGUUGACCUCGGAUCAGGUAGGAAUACCCGCUGAACUUAA